AACGAACGCUGGCGGCAGGCCUAACACAUGCAAGUCGAGCGCUCACUUCGGUGGGAGCGGCGGACGGGUUAGUAACGCGUGGGAACGUGCCCAGAUCUACGGAAUAGCCUCGGGAAACUGAGAGUAAUACCGUAUACGCCCUUCGGGGGAAAGAUUUAUCGGAUUUGGAUCGGCCCGCGUUAGAUUAGGUAGUUGGUGGGGUAAUGGCCUACCAAGCCUACGAUCUAUAGCUGGUUUUAGAGGAUGAUCAGCAACACUGGGACUGAGACACGGCCCAGACUCCUACGGGAGGCAGCAGUGGGGAAUCUUGGACAAUGGGCGCAAGCCUGAUCCAGCCAUGCCGCGUGAGUGAUGAAGGCCCUAGGGUCUAAAGCUCUUUCGCCAGAGAUGAUAAUGACAGUAUCU
rnacentral:rRNA from 1 species